AUUUGAGCCAAUGGAGAAGUUCCUGAUGCCCACACCUGCUGGUCUCACCGCUAGGGCCUGGGCAUCACAGGCAGGGGGAAUGGGGAGGGGACGGUAGCGUCAGCCUACACCCACACGCAGUUUCCUGAUAAAAGGUCCUUUGGAAACUUUGAUUCUCUUCUCACCAAGUUGAACGGAGAUGUGUUCCCAUAGUAAGAGUGAGGCCCCUGCAUUUGCUGCCCUCGGUUUUCCCAACUAACACCAGGGCCUCCCCCCUGUACCCCAUUCAUAUGCCUCAGAAGCUGACAAUGACUGUUGGGCUUUUCCAAUGAAUACCAGAACACCAUUUCCUGCAGCCUGAAAAGAAGACAGUAUAAUUGUUUGGCAGCAAGAGACAGGAUCUCGCUGCGUUGCUCAGACUGGUCUCGAACUCCUGGGCUUAAGGGAUUCUCCUGCCUCAAUCACAGCCUCCCAAGUAGCUGAGAUUAAAAGUGCUCACCACCGUGCCAGCGAGUUCAGUUUUUGAGAUAAGGGGAAAUUGGAGCUCAGAGAUUUAAGCCACCUGCCAGAGGUCACAUGGCCCAUAAAAGUGUCCUCCGACACUGACUCUGUGCUUGGCCCUGUGACUUGCUUUGGCCAAUGGUACAGCAGCAAACUUGAUGCAAACACAACUUGAAAAAGAAGAGGACAGCCAAGUCAUCCCAGCCAAGGCCACCCUGGACCAGCCAGCCUCUUGCCAAGCUGCCAGUGACCACAGAGUCCAAUUAACAACAGCCAGUCCUGGCCCAGGGUGGAGCCAAGACUCUGAGGAGAGGGCUGAACUGUGAACCUAGAAGUACCAUCUCCCCCUGCACACACCUUUGGUCAAGUUGACCCCAAGAAGAAGGACAAGUCCUCUGCACGGCGAUGAGGCCAUACACACAGUCUGUGGCCCGGCUUUGGGAGACUGAUGGGACAAAGGAUGUUUUGCACGAUCCUUGGUCUCUGAGCAAAUAUAUACAUGGGUUAACACAAA
rnacentral:lncRNA from 1 species